rnacentral:ncRNA from 1 species
CGAAAAAUGAUGAUAAGGAAUAGUAGUGAAGCUUCAAGAGCAAAUAGAGAGAUGGCGGUUGGUGAAAGCUAUCCUUGGACUUUAUGAACUCGCCUUUGAUGUUGCAAAUCUGAACGAAUAGUAAGAUUUGUCGUAUCUCUGCGUUAAGGAGCUUAAGUGAGUGUCAAACACUAAUUUGGGUGGUACCGCGGGUGGCAAAAAAAGCCCCUCGUCCCUAUU